rnacentral:rRNA from 1 species
AGUGAACGCUGGCGGUAGGCCUAACACAUGCAAGUCGAACGGCAGCACAGUAAGAGCUUGCUCUUACGGGUGGCGAGUGGCGGACGGGUGAGGAAUACAUCGGAAUCUACUUUUUCGUGGGGGAUAACGUAGGGAAACUUACGCUAAUACCGCAUACGACCUACGGGUGAAAGCAGGGGAUCUUCGGACCUUGCGCGAUUGAAUGAGCCGAUGUCGGAUUAGCUAGUUGGCGGGGUAAAGGCCCACCAAGGCGACGAUCCGUAGCUGGUCUGAGAGGAUGAUCAGCCACACUGGAACUGAGACACGGUCCAGACCCCUACGGGAGGCAGCAGUGGGGAAUAUUGGACAAUGGGCGCAAGCCUGAUCCAGCCAUACCGCGUGGGUGAAGAAGGCCUGCGGGUUGUAAAGCCCUUUUGUUGGGAAAGAAAAGCAGCAGGUUAAUACCCCGCUGUUCUGACGGUACCCAAAGAAUAAGCACCGGCGAACUUCGU